UAGUCAUAUGGUCGACACAAAGUGAAUAACUCUUUUUCCUUUUACUAAAUAAUACCGUGUGUUGACCACCCACAACCGUAAAAUUGGAGCCUUUCAUUUUUUAAAAAUGGAG
rnacentral:snRNA from 1 species